rnacentral:rRNA from 1 species
UACGGAGGAUGCGAGCGUUAUCCGGAUUUAUUGGGUUUAAAGGGUGCGCAGGCGGUCUGUUAAGUCAGCGGUCAAAGCCCGGGGCUCAACCCCGGCCCGCCGUUGAAACUGGCAGUCUCGAGUUGGAGAGAAGUAUGCGGAAUGCGCGGUGUAGCGGUGAAAUGCGUAGAGAUUAGGAAGAACACCAGUGGCGAAGGCGACUUACUGGACUGUAACUGACGCUGAGGCAUGAGAGCAUGGGGAGCAAACAGG